rnacentral:rRNA from 1 species
UACAGGGGGUGCAAACGUUGCUCGGAAUCAUUGGGCGUAAAGCGCACGUAGGCGGUUCGUUAUGUCGGAUGUGAAAGCCCUUGGCUUAACCGAGGAAGUGCAUCCGAAACUGGCGAGCUAGAGUACGAAAAGAGGAUCGCGGAAUUCCCCGGUGUAGAGGUGAAAUUCGUAGAUAUCGGGAGGAACACCGGUGGCGAAGGCGGCCUUCUGGACAGUGACUGACGCUGAGAUGCGAAAGCGUGGGGAGCAAACAGG